CAGGGUGGAUCAUACUCCUCACAAAACUAUGGUGGCAGCCAACAGAGUGGAUCAUCAUCAUCCUCACAAAAUUAUGGUGGCAACCAGGGUGGAUCCUUCUCUCAAAAUUAUGGUGGUGGCCAAGGUGGCUCAUCCUCCUCAGACAGCUAUGAUGACAGUCAGGAUUCACAAGCUUCCUACGAUGAUAAUCCCAACGCUUGUGAUGAU